CAAAUCCCCAAAAGAUACCUCAGUUCGGAUUGCACUCUGCAACUCGAGUGCAUGAAGCUGGAAUUACUAGUAAUCGUGGAUCAGCGUCCCACGGUGAAUGCGUUCCCGGGUCUUGUACACACCGCCCGUCACACCAUGGGAGUUGGUUCUACCUUAAGGCAAGGUUUCAAACCCUUGUCCACGGUAUAGUCAGCGAAUGGGGUGAAGUCGUAACAAGGUAGCCGU
rnacentral:rRNA from 1 species